rnacentral:lncRNA from 1 species
AUCUAGCAUCGAUCCGACGUUUCCAAAAGAACAAAGGAAUCACCGCCAAUAUGAGAAUCAUGGAGACUAUCAGAGCGAACAUCUCCUCCAUCUCUUACAUGCGAUCCAAAAUAACCUAAGAAGAAAGGGAUUUUAAGGAAAAUGUCGAGGAGAAAACGGAACUUGAAUAACAAAACUGGAAGAGGAUCGAUUCAGAUUAUUAGAACCUAAUUGCGUUUUCGAAAUAGAUGUUGCCUUCUCUAUUCCAAGUGCUCGAGGAUUGCAGAGCUCCGCUUAGACUCGGUGGAGAAGACAAGCGGUUCAUUCGUAAUUUCCACGAUUUACUAGUAUGUCACACCAAAAGUCACUAUAUACCGAACCGAAAUCUACCACAUCGUAACCAAAUCAAAGCUUUGUUUAGUUAGUUAAAGGUGC